rnacentral:rRNA from 1 species
CAUGUCUACCAGGCGUUGGUUGUCCUGGGGAAAGGAGGUAGGCGGUGAUCUUAGGCAAAUCCGGGAUCACUCACGCCGUGCACCGAGACGAGUCCUAUGAGGACGAAGUGACUGACACCACGCUUCCAGGAAAAGCCACUAAGCUUCAGCUUAAGAAAAACCGUACCGCAAACCGACACAGGUAGGCAGGGUGAGAAUCCCAAGGCGCUUGAGAGAACUCGGGUGAAGGAACUAGGCAAAAUGGCACCGUAACUUCGGGAGAAGGUGCGCCCUUUGGUGUGGUCACGUGCGUGACUGAGCAUCGAAGGGUCGCAGUAACCUGGCCGCUGCGACUGUUUAUCAAAAACACAGCACUCCGCAAACACGAAAGUGGACGUAUAGGGUGUGACGCCUGCCCGGUGCUGGAAGGUUAAUUGAUGGGGUCAGCCGCAAGGCGAAGCUCUUGAUCGAAGCCCCAGUAAACGGCGGCCGUAACAAUAACGGUCCUAAGGUAGCGAAAUUCCUUGUCGGGUAAGUUCCGACCUGCACGAAUGGCGUAACGACAGCGGCGCUGUCUCCACCCGAGACUCAGUGAAAUUGAAAUCGCUGUGAAGAUGCAGCGUUCCCGCGGCAAGACGGAAAGACCCCGUGAACCUUUACUAUAGCUUUACACUGAACGUUGAGUUCUUCUGUGUAGGAUAGGUGGGAGGCUAUGAAACCAGGACGCUAGUUCUGGUGGAGCCAUCCUUGAAAUACCACCCUGAAGUGCUUGACGUUCUAACCUAGGCCCGUAAUCCGGGUCAGGGACCGUGUAUGGUGGGUAGUUUGACUGGGGCGGUCUCCUCCCAAAGAGUAACGGAGGAGCACGAAGGUACGCUCAGCGCGGUCGGACAUCGCGCACUGUGUGCAAAGGCAUAAGCGUGCUUGACUGCGAGAUCGACGGAUCAAGCAGGUACGAAAGUAGGUCUUAGUGAUCCGGUGGUUCUGUAUGGAAGGGCCAUCGCUCAACGGAUAAAAGGUACUCCGGGGAUAACAGGCUGAUACCGCCCAAGAGUUCAUAUCGACGGCGGUGUUUGGCACCUCGAUGUCGGCUCAUCACAUCCUGGGGCUGUAGCCGGUCCCAAGGGUAUGGCUGUUCGCCAUUUAAAGUGGUACGCGAGCUGGGUUCAGAACGUCGUGAGACAGUUCGGUCCCUAUCUGUCGUGGGCGUUGGAGAUUUGAGGGGGGCUGCUCCUAGUACGAGAGGACCGGAGUGGACGUUCCGCUGGUGUUCGGGUUGUCAUGCCCAUGGCAUUGCCCGGUAGCUACGAACGGAAGUGAUAACCGCUGAAAGCACCUAAGCGGGAAGCACGCCCCAAGAUGAGAUCUCCCGAGAGCUUGACUCUCCUAAAGGCACCAUCAAGACUAGGUGGUUGAUAGGUCAGGUGUGGAAGCGCAGCAAUGCGUUGAGCUAACUGAUACUAAUGAGCCGUGAGGCUUGACCG